rnacentral:rRNA from 1 species
AUACGUAGGUGGCAAGCGUUGUCCGGAAUUGUUGGGCGUAAAGAGCGCGUAGGCGGGAAGGGAAGUCUAUCUUAAAAGUGCGGGGCUCAGCCUCGUGAGGGGGUAGAAACUCCUUUUCUUGAGUGCCGGAGAGGAAAGCGGAAUUCCCAGUGUAGGGGUGAAAUGCGUAGAUAUUGGGAGGAACACCAGUGGCGAAGGCGGCUUUCUGGACGGUGUCUGACGCUGAGGCGCGAAAGCCAGGGGAGCGAACGGGAUUAGACACCCCGGUAGUCCUGGCCGUAAACGAUGGGUACUAGGUGUGGGAGGUAUCGACCCCUUCCGUGCCGGAGUUAACGCAAUAAGUACCCCGCCGGGGGAGUACGGCCGCAAGGUUGA